rnacentral:rRNA from 1 species
GACGAACGCUGGCGGCGUGCCUAACACAUGCAAGUCGAACGAACCGUGGAGGGCUUGCUCUUCGCGGUUAGUGGCGAACGGGUGCGUAACACGUGAGCAACCUGCCCUUCGGUGGGGGAUAGCCGGCCUAACGGCCGGGUAAUACCGCAUACCGCCCCGGGAUCGCAUGGUCCUGGGGUUAAAGCCGCAAGGCGCCGGGGGAGGGGCUCGCGCCCUAUCAGCUAGUUGGUGAGGUAACGGCUCACCAAGGCAACGACGGGUAGCUGGUCUGAGAGGAUGGCCAGCCACAUUGGGACUGAGAUACGGCCCAGACUCCUACGGGAGGCAGCAGUGGGGAAUAUUGCGCAAUGGCCGCAAGGCUGACGCAGCGACGCCGCGUGUGGGAUGACGGCCUUCGGGUUGUAAACCACUGUUGGGAGGGACGAAGGCCCGGAAACGGGAUUGACGGUACCUCCAGAGGAAGCACCGGCUAACUCCGUGCCAGCAGCCGCGGUAAUACGGAGGGUGCAAGCGUUGUCCGGAAUCACUGGGCGUAAAGGGCGCGUAGGCGGCGCGGUAAGUCGGAUGUGAAAUCCCGGGGCUCAACUCCGGGGCUGCAUCCGAGACUGUCGUGCUCGAGCAUGGUAGAGGCGAGUGGAAUUCCCGGUGUAGCGGUGGAAUGCGUAGAGAUCGGGAAGAACACCAGUGGCGAAGGCGGCUCGCUGGGCCAUUGCUGACGCUGAGGCGCGAAAGCGUGGGGAGCAAACAGGAUUAGAUACCCUGGUAGUCCACGCCGUAAACGAUGGGCACUAGGCGCCGGGGGGGAGCGACCCUUUUCGGUGCCGUCGCUAACGCAGUAA